GAUGAACGCUGGCGGCGUGCCUAAUACAUGCAAGUCGAGCGAACGGACGAGAAGCUUGCUUCUCUGAUGUUAGCGGCGGACGGGUGAGUAACACGUGGAUAACCUACCUAUAAGACUGGGAUAACUUCGGGAAACCGGAGCUAAUACCGGAUAAUAUUUUGAACCGCAUGGUUCAAAAGUAAAAGACGGUCUUGCUGUCACUUAUAGAUGGAUCCGCGCUGCAUUAGCUAGUUGGUAAGGUAACGGCUUACCAAGGCAACGAUGCAUAGCCGACCUGAGAGGGUGAUAGGCCACACUGGAACUGAGACACGGUCCAGACUCCUACGGGUGGCAGCAGUAGGGAAUCUUCCGCAAUGGGCGAAAGCCUGACGGAGCAACGCCGCGUGAGUGAUGAAGGUCUUCGGAUCGUAAAACUCUGUUAUUAGGGAAGAACAUAUGUGUAAGUAACUGUGCACAUCUUGACGGUACCUAAUCAGAAAGCCACGGCUAACUACGUG
rnacentral:rRNA from 1 species